GGCACCGAGGCACCGUCCCUGCCCGGCCCCCCAACAUGGCGGCGCUAAGAUGGCGGCCGCGGCCCCCGCCCCGCACGGGCGGCUCUGUGAGCGGCGCGUUGUCCCUCCACGAGCUCCUGCUCGGCACUCGAUAACUUGAACAAACUCCUUAACAAACUGCUUUCAGCUUCCUGCGGGAAGAGACCCGCGGGGGAGGGGACCCGGGCUGUGACACCGGUGGGUGUCGAGGGUGGGACACCGGCACCGCGGUUCUUCAUCGCUGAAGCCCGCUGGGCUGGUGACAAAGAGAGUCACCAAGUUAUCAGAGGGAUGGAGCACCUCUAAUAUGAGGAAAGGCUGGGACUGGGAUUGUUCAGCCUGGAGAUGAGAAAGCCCCGGGGUGACCUAAUUGCCCCUCCCAGUGCCUGCAGGGAAUUUACAGGAAAGGCAGAGAGGGACUGUUUACAAAUACACGUAGCGACAGGAAAGGGGGAGUGGGUUCAGACUGAAAGAGUGCAGGUUUCGAUUAGCUAUUAAGAAGAAAAUCUCCACUGUCAGGGUGGUGCGGCCUGAGGCUGCACAGAGAAGCUGCCCCGAUCGCUGCAGUGUCCGAGGCCAUCCCUGGCAGGGCGUCAAACGAGAUCACCUUCGAGGUCCUUCCCAACCCAAACCAGCCCGCGACUCUCUGAAAGUUGUUACCUCUAGGUAACAGCUAGAGGUAAGCGAGAGAGAACAUGUCCAUUAUGGGAAAAGGUCAAUGAGGACUUUUAUCCUCCAGAACAAAUCUUACUUAUGUUACACCAAAUUUGAUUCACUCUUCUUUAUCAAAUGUAAGUAAAAAGCCCUCUCCUUCCUUCACCGUUGCCUCCAGAAUUGUGUUGUCAAGUGAAUUGCUGGCAGGAGGCAGACGUGCCUGGCUGGAAGAUUUUCAUGUGGCUGGUGAAUCAGCUCGAAAAUGUAAAAAGCCACACAAACACAUCAGCAGAGAGUCCCUGUGCCUGGCACAUGUCCCCAAAUGGCCUCCCUGCACGUCUUGGAUGAGAUGCCUCCAGAGAUCAGCCUGAGGCCAGAGGGAAAGGCUUUCCAUGGCAGUGCAGUGGCAGAGCCAUGGGCAGUGGGAGCCAGGCAGAGCUUCUCCCCAGGCUCCUUUGCCAGCAGCCAACAAACCGUCCGCAGAGCAGGAACACGGCGAGCUCAUUAUGAGACACUUGAUCAGCUGCCCUGUCAAGGGAGGCCAAUGGGACAAAGCUGUGUGUCCUCCACACCAGAGCCUGUCAGCUCUCCUGGAAAGAACACCUGGCUGCUUGGAGACAAUCCAGACACCAGCAAGGAUCUUCAUAACAACCUGGAGAGCUGCAGCCUGGAUGACAUGUGGCAUCCAUCAUCAUCAUCCAAGGGAGCCAAACCAGCAGACCUCAGAGGCUGACUGCUCCAGGAGCCUGGGAACCAAGGGGUUAAAGUGCUUGGCCAGGGAAGGUCCUGGGAGGAGAAAAGCACCGAAACUGCUUAAUUAGAGUAUUCAAAUUAGAGGGGGUUGCAAAGCAGUUAAUUUCUCAACUUGAAAAAAAACCAAAAUUAAUAUUGGCCAGCCAGGAUCAGAAGCAAUGGGAGCCAUUGACAGCUUUGCUGGGGCUCCUCGUGCUGGGGAGGACUCCAGAGGUCCCUGCUAUAAUUAUCUGAAGGCUUUAGUAUUUUGUUUUGAACUUGCUUGAGCAUUUUGUGGAUAAAAGGCGGUGAUCCAAACCCCAGCUGUAUUUCCGCAUAAAGAAGCAAAGGGCUCCUGCCUGGCAUUGCAGUGUGACACUUUGGUGUUUCCUCAAGGAGUUUCCUAAUUUGCACAGUCUGGAGAGGAUCAGACCAGUGGGUGGUGGAAGCAAACUGUGGCUCUGCCAGGCUGGUGCUCCCUCCCAGCCUCCAGGAACAGGCAAGCACCUCCCAUGCCUGCACAGAUGGAGCAACAAACAGCCCUGCAUGGACUGAGCCACCACUCACACCGGGGGCUCACUGCCUCAUUGAUCCACAGCCAUGGACACCUCACUGUCAGCAGCCCCUGAGCAAGUCCAGCCAUGCCAGUGCCAGGGAGAGGAGGCUCUUCCCUCUGCCUUGUGCCACAGCUCCAGUGUGGGAAUGUGGAUGUGGAUGCUGUGUGGACAGUGCCAGGGCUCAUCCCUUGGUUAGUCCUUGUCCUGUGGGCUGACAGCUUUCCUUGCUCUGGUCCAUCUGCCUCACCCCUCAGGCUUUUCUCAUCUGCCUUUUUGCUGGUCUAAUCUUUUCUCUAAUAUUUAAUCCCAUGCCAAAUUCUUUCCCAUCCUCUUAAAAUUCUGAAAUUCUCUAAUUUUUUUUCCUUGUCUGCAUAAUUGAGAACCAUCUUGAAUCCCUUUGUGUUCAGACUUCAUACCUUGUGCUGCCACUAUGUUACAAUCACUUAAACGUGAGAUCUUUGCAUAUUAUUCCUGUGGAGACAAAUUUUUGCAUGUUCCCUAGAAAGGAAGUCAUCCUCCAUUAGCAAGUGCUUUGUGGUGAAUGAGAGAGAACACGGCAGGAGCAGAGGCAGCAGUGGAGAGUCCCACCCUGCACUGUGCCUCAGAGUGAUACUGAUGUCUGAGACAAGCUGGGAUUUCUUUCCCAGCAAUAUCUUUGCUCUUCAAUGGCUGUGAGUGAAAGGCUUUGACACUCUCCAUCAGCACAGCACCAGGUGAGGGCUGGCACACGUUCCCUGCCACCCUCCCUCUGGCAAUGCAGCUGCCACUGCCCCUGGUGCCACCCACCAAGUCUCAGCACAAUGGGAAGGGAAGGAAAAAAAAUACUUCCCCCUGCACAGACACAUUACACCAAGAGCAGAGAAAAUUGAUCUCUGGCUGCUGAGCCUCUUUAGCACUUUGUGUUGCUGAAAGGAAUAAUCAAGCCUGGCCCUGGAGAAGGCAAAGACAGAAAGAAAAUAAAAGCUUUCCCCGUCUGAUGAUUUAUCUCUGGGGUUGGGGCCCUCCCUGAGGGACCCAGUGGUGGUUUUGGGAGAGGCUUUUGCUCUCGGGCCUGGUUCAACAGCAGAUCCACAACAAUCCCACAAAAUUUUGCUUUUCCUGCUCACUCAGCAGGUCUGAGGGGAAAGGGAAGAGGCUGCCAGGGCUCCCAGCUGAGCUCCCAACAAGGGGGGCUGCAACAUGCACUUACACUGGGCUUGCUCAGGGAUGUCACUUGACAUCCCCUAGCACAACUUCUCUCCUGUCCCUCGUGUAGCAGCCAUGGUGUGAUGCAGAAGCCUGGCUUUCUCCAGGUUGUGGCCCUCACAACAACUGCAGGCGUUGGAGUUUGGGGACAAGGAUCAAAGUGCUGAAGUGCCACUCACGAGGCUGAGGAGGGAGAGAAGGCUCCUCACUUGCCCUCAAGCCAAGGGUUGAGCUUUGCCCUCCACAAGAGUGUGGGCCAUUUGCCACAGCCCAUCACCAGAGGCUCAAAAUCUGUAUCUAAUACUCUGUUGGAUCAACAAUUACCAGACUAAAAGAAAAAUCCACACUGAAAGGGGAGUCCUGAGGCUCCUCCUGGCUCCCGGCAGCACACCCUGAGCUGGCCCAGCCCCAGCUUCAGCUACUUACAGUCCAGGGGACGCACAUUUCCACAGGCAGCCCCCUCAGCCCCCACCCUUGCCAAGCUGUCCAAGAGCUGGGGGUAGAGCUGUGGCAGUGUCAGACACCUGUGAGCACGGGUGUGGGGGGAACAUCACAUCCCCAGACAGGUCCAGGGAAGCUGACUGUCACCUCAGCCCCAGGUAAGUGCUGCCUGAGAGAUACCCCAUCAUUUGGUGCCCUGUGGAAGAUGCAGGUUGGUGAGGCUGCAGGUGGGAGAGGCACAGGAGGAGGAGGUAGCAGCUCUCUCCCAGCUCCUGCUCUGCAGCCCUGUGCCAGGACCGGCCAGGCUGGCUGGCUGGCGGUGGGCGUUCGUGACUCAUGAUCCCUGAUCACCAUCCGAUGACACAUUUACUGCCAGCAGGAUGGGCCUCCCGCCAGCACAGCAGCCCUGCAGCCUCUCGGGAGGGUGGCUGGGCUUUGCCAGCAGCUGUGCUGAUGCAGAUGGGUGGGGAGGUCACCAGCUGCAGCCCUGGGAUGCACAACCUGAGGUAGCCCCUGGCUGGGUGGUAAUGGGGGCAGACCAGGACCCUCUGUCCCAGUGUUCAGUGUGGGAGCACAGGGGCAGAGAUGGGACCUGGCCAAGGCCAAGCACAGCAGGCCUUGGAGCCAGCCCUGCUCCCUCACCUCCCACAGCACCCUCCCUGCCUGCCCAGAGAGCUGGCUCCCGGCAGCGGGCACGGUGACAAAUGCCUUUAGAACAUUCUUUAUUAAGUGAGAAAUCUCACUGCGCUCCCUAUGCCAAGCCCUAAUACAGUGCAGACCUAAAUACAGCACUAAUGCAAAAGCUUAAAGGAUUUCCCAUAAUUGAGCAAAGCUGGCAGAGGGGCAAGAACCUGGUGGGGGGAACUGCAGCCCACCUCCCUCCUCAGCGUGGGCUACCCUCAGUCUAUCCCCGCUGGUCCAAGUGUGGCCACAGCCCCCACCCUCGGACUGUUCAGUGUAGAAAAUUAAAAUCUUCCAAGGCCUCAUCUUCCCCAGCUCAGAGCCCCAAGUUGCCAUCGUUACCCUCACACAAAUCCCCUUGAUUUAUGCAAUAGCACAAGUAGCAUGGUGAUGUGUGACCUGUGUGUCACCCGUCCUCCUGCUGCCAGCAUUGCUGGGGCCCUGCCUGUCCCAAACCUCACUGAGCGUCACAACAGGGCCAGGGCAGCAGGACUGGGCACAUCCAGCCUCCAAAGCACAAGGGAUGCUCCAGACAGGGGAGCUGCUGAGCCAGCACCUGCUGCUCCUGCACACCCCAAUAUCUUGGGAGGUGGGUGGCCACCAGCACCCUGCACCCCAGAGAAUA